rnacentral:rRNA from 1 species
CAGCAGUCGCCACGGUAAUACGGAGGGGGCUAGCGUUGCUCGGAAUGACUGGGCGUAAAGGGCGCGUAGGCGGUUUAUACAGUCAGAUGUGAAAUUCCUGGGCUCAACCUGGGGACUGCAUUUGAUACGUAUGGACUUGAGUGGAGAAGAGGGUUGUGGAAUUUCCAGUGUAGAGGUGAAAUUCGUAGAUAUUGGAAAGAACACCGGUGGCGAAGGCGGCAACCUGGUCUUUAACUGACGCUGAGGCGCGAAAGCGUGGGGAGCAAACAGGAUUAGAUACCCGCGUAGUCCCUGUCUCUUAUAC